rnacentral:rRNA from 1 species
CUCAGAUUGAACGCUGGCGGCAUGCCUUACACAUGCAAGUCGAACGGCAGCGCGGGAGCAAUCCUGGCGGCGAGUGGCGAACGGGUGAGUAAUACAUCGGAACGUGCCCAAUCGUGGGGGAUAACGCAGCGAAAGCUGUGCUAAUACCGCAUACGAUCUACGGAUGAAAGCAGGGGAUCGCAAGACCUUGCGCGAAUGGAGCGGCCGAUGGCAGAUUAGGUAGUUGGUGAGGUAAAGGCUCACCAAGCCUUCGAUCUGUAGCUGGUCUGAGAGGACGACCAGCCACACUGGGACUGAGACACGGCCCAGACUCCUACGGGAGGCAGCAGUGGGGAAUUUUGGACAAUGGGCGAAAGCCUGAUCCAGCCAUGCCGCGUGCAGGAUGAAGGCCUUCGGGUUGUAAACUGCUUUUGUACGGAACGAAACGGUCUUUUCUAAUACAGAAGGCUAAUGACGGUACCGUAAGAAUAAGCACCGGCUAACUACGUGCCAGCAGCCGCGGUAAUACGUAGGGUGCAAGCGUUAAUCGGAAUUACUGGGCGUAAAGCGUGCGCAGGCGGUUAUGUAAGACAGUUGUGAAAUCCCCGGGCUCAACCUGGGAACUGCAUCUGUGACUGCAUAGCUAGAGUACGGUAGAGGGGGAUGGAAUUCCGCGUGUAG